GGGGGAGGAAGGGGGAGGAAGAGGAAGAAGGUCCGGCCUCCUUCACACGGAGUUUAACUUCUUUAAAACAACUUUAACUCACUUUUUAUUUCAUGUUAAAAUUAAACCUCCGCGAAUAUUUCCAGGCAGCGGUGAGCGCCAGGCAGCGAGGCCGGCGAAGGGACGCUAUUCCCGGGGAGAAAAACAGCGACAUGUCGGGGGGAUCCAGGCCGAGUGGAUGUGACUGAGAGGCGGGGAAAACCCUCCGAGACUCCCCGCUCCUGAGAGGAGGAUGGAGGGAGAGAAAGAGACGGCGGAGGAGAAGGAGGAGGAAGAAGAGGAAGAGGAGGAAGGAGAAGAUCUUCAUCACAUCGCGGCAAUAUCCAUAGACCACCAGGAACUUCCCAUCAUGCACUGGGAGGAUUUGAGCCAGCGAAUAGCAGAGCUGGAGCAGCAGGAGAGGAGCGAGAGGUCAAAGAGGCCGGAGGAGGGCGAGUGGAGAGACGUUUUGGGAGGAAGACGAGGAAGACUUAAGGGAAGUGCCGCGUCGCUGUCGUGUCGUCACGAUUUCAGCACCACAAAAACCUGCAGCUGUGCUUCGUCAACAACAGCGACAGCGAGGAGGACGAGGAGAAAGAGGUUUCAAAGGGAGCGGGGCAGAAUGGAUGCCGAGGCGCCGGAUUGAAACAGGAAGUGGUGUCGGCGCUGAGGAGGCUGAGGGAUGAGCUGCUGGCCAAUCAGAGAGAGGGAGGGUGUGUGUCCAGCAACUGUGUUUCAGAGAGGAAACAUCUGGAGCUUCAGGAGCUGCAGCAGCGCUCUGUGACGCAGCUGAGGAGAGAGAGAGACAAACUACAGCAGGAAGUCCACGCUCUGAGCUCUCAGCUGGUUUCUCUGCUGCUGGUUCGAGACCAGCUGAGGACGAAGCAGGACGCCAUGCUGCUGGACGUCCAGGACCUCACCUGACCCAGAACCACCUGACCCAGAACCAGCUUCUACGAGGACACCCGGCCAAUAACGGACCUGUAGGAGGUAUUUAACUUCUGAAAAACCCUCAGAGGAACGAGCGGAGGAACUCUUGGACUAACAGCAUGAAGGAAACGGACUCUGACACAGAGCCGAAUAUGAGCCGCAGUUAGAGAAGAGCCAAGUCCAAACCAAGGUUCUGAAACAUGUGGUACUGGUUUAUCUUUAGAACCGGGAAGAUGUGUUUCAGACGCUGUAAACUCUGAAUUAUCCUGAUCAUGCUUCACUGAGAACAACAACUCUGUGAGGAAAUCUACAGGAGAGUUAGCUUACAUUAGCAUUUAGCAGCUAACGGAGCUACAUCAUAAUGCAGUUUUUGAAACGUAGUUUUUUACCGUGACGUCGAGAAUCGUGGUGUUUCAUCGGUUUUGGUAUUGACUAUUAAACUCGUGGGUUUUGUGAGACCCGAUAUCUCGUUAGUGACCGACAGCAGGUUGACGGGAAACAAAGGAUUUUGUUUAAGAUCUGCAGGAGAGCCAGCUGACAGCAUUUAGCAGCUAACGGAGCUACAUCAUGAUGCAGUUUUUGAAACGUAGUUUUUUACCGUGACGUCGAGAAUCGUGGUGUUUUAACAGUUUUGGUAUCGACUACUACUCCUGUGACAUCCGAUAUCUCGUUAGAAACCGACAGCAGGUUGAUAGGAAAUGAAGGAACAAAGAUUUAAGUCAAACACGACGCUGGAAAAACAGGAAGACAAACGGCGUCUGGAUUUUAACCUCUGAGAGUUUUCAGACCUGUCUUUCUAGGUUUGGGUUGUGUUUUGGGAAUUUAGAGCAGAGGUCCAGAAGGGAAGAGGAGGAGCUUCUGUGCACGGAUAAAUGCUCGAUAUCUAAAUGCUAACGAGAGGGGAAAAUAAUGCGCCGUUAGAUUCAGAACCGCUCCGAAAUCAAACCCUCCUGACAUCUGCACCAUGUUAGUGGAAGAAGGAUUAGGACGAACAUAUUUAAUACAUGUAUGUGCAAAUAAGGGAUUCUAACUUAUCUUAUUUAAUUUUAACGUGUUUAUUAUUUGUUAUUAUAAUAAGGGAACAUUACACUCAAGACAAGAGCUAUUUAACUCAGAUUUAAGAUUUUAUAUUCUGGUAUUUGUCCUCCAGGGUUUUGCUUUCUGACUUGUGUAGCUUAGCAUGCGAGCUAGCUACGUCGUCCUUGGCGUUUUCACUCCUUCACUCCUUUAAGUCCAUUUUCUCCUCCGUCAUGUCUCGAAUAUCCGUCUGUUUUCCGCCUCACAUCUCAAUAUCAAUCUUUAUUUAUUCAUAUAGCACAUUUAAAACCACCUCAGCUGACCAAAGUGCUUUGCAGGGAACACAUCAUAUAUAGAAUAACACAAUAGGAGUACAAUUAUAAAAAACAAUAAUAAGCACAAUAACUAUAACAUAUAAAAACAUGUAGAAAUGUCAAAAUGUUCAACUAGUGUUAGAAGCCAGAGCAAAGAGGUGAGUUUUUAGCAGAGAUUUAAAAGACAUAAUUAUGCAUUUAACAAACAAAAAGAUAUAUGCUUUUAUUUUUGACAUUUUCGACAUAUAUAAUAUAAGAUAAAAAACAUAUGUGUGUGUUUCUGUUUGUGUGUGUGUGUGUGUGGCCUCCUGUGUG